GCUGAAUACAACAGGUGUAGUAGACCUUACAGUGAAAUGCUGAAUACAACAGGUAUAGUAGACCUUACAGUGAAAUGCUGAAUACAACAGGUGUAGUCGACCUUACAGUGAAAUGCUGAAUACAACAGGUGUAGUAGACCUUACAGUGAAAUGCUGAAUACAACAGGGAGGAUUCAUGUAUAUGUGGGCUUAGCUAUAGGUACAUUUAAUUAAUAUAUACGUGGGCUUAGCUAUAGGUACAUUUAAUUAGUAUAUACAUGGGCUUAGCUAUAGGUACAUUUAAUUAAUAUAUACGUGGGCUUAGCUAUAGGUACAUUUAAUUAGUAUAUACAUGGGCUUAGCUAUAGGUACAUUUAAUUAGUAUAUACAUGGGCUUAGCUAUAGGUACAUUUAAUUAGUAUAUACGUGGGCUUAGCUAUAGGUACAUUUAAUUAGUAUAUACAUGGGCUUAGCUAUAGGUACAUUUAAUUAGUAUAUACAUGGGCUUAGCUAUAGGUACAUUUAAUUAGUAUAUACGUGGGCUUAGCUAUAGGUACAUUUAAUUAAUAUAUACAUGGGCUUAGCUAUAGGUACAUUUAAUUAGUAUAUACAUGGGCUUAGCUAUAGGUACAUUUAAUUAGUAUAUACAUGGGCUUAGCUAUAGGUACAUUUAAUUAGUAUAUACGUGGGCUUAGCUAUAGGUACAUUUAAUUAAUAUAUACAUGGGCUUAGCUAUAGGUACAUUUAAUUAGUAUAUACAUGGGCUUAGCUAUAGGUACAUUUAAUUAGUAUAUACAUGGGCUUAGCUAUAGGUACAUUUAAUUAGUAUAUACGUGGGCUUAGCUAUAGGUACAUUUAAUUAGUAUAUACAUGGGCUUAGCUAUAGGUACAUUUAAUUAGUAUAUACAUGGGCUUAGCUAUAGGUACAUUUAAUUAGUAUAUACGUGGGCUUAGCUAUAGGUACAUUUAAUUAGUAUAUACGUGGGCUUAGCUAUAGGUACAUUUAAUUAAUAUAUACAUGGGCUUAGCUAUAGGUACAUUUAAUUAGUAUAUACAUGGGCUUAGCUAUAGGUACAUUUAAUUAGUAUAUACAUGGGCUUAGCUAUAGGUACAUUUAAUUAGUAUAUACGUGGGCUUAGCUAUAGGUACAUUUAAUUAGUAUAUAC